rnacentral:rRNA from 1 species
AAACCAACAGGGAUUGCCCCAGUAACGGCGAGUGAAGCGGCAAGAGCUCAAAUUUGAAAUCUGGCCUCCCCCGGGGGUCCGAGUUGUAAUUUGCAGAGGAUGCUUCGGGCGCGGCCCCCGUCUAAGUUCCUUGGAACAGGACGUCAGAGAGGGUGAGAAUCCCGUCUUGGGCGGGCGGCCCGCGCCCGUGUGAAGCUCCUUCGACGAGUCGAGUUGUUUGGGAAUGCAGCUCUAAGCGGGUGGUAAAUUUCAUCUAAAGCUAAAUACCGGCCGGAGACCGAUAGCGCACAAGUAGAGUGAUCGAAAGGUUAAAAGCACCUUGAAAAGGGAGUUAAACAGCACGUGAAAUUGUUGAAAGGGAAGCGUUUGCGGCCAGACUCGGGGGGCGGGGUUCAGCGGGCGCUCGUCGCCCGUGCACUGCCCGCUCCCCGGGCCAGCAUCAGCUUCGACGGCCGGUCAAAGGCCCCCGGAAUGUGUCGUCUCUAGGGACGUCUUAUAGCCGGGGGUGCAAUGCGGCCCGUCGAGACUGAGGAACGCGCUCCGGCUCGGAUGCUGGCGUAAUGGCCGUAAGCGGC